AUUGAACGCUGGCGGCAUGCUUUACACAUGCAAGUCGAACGGUAACAGGCCUUCUGGUUUUGACGAUUGGCGAACUGGUGUGUAAUGCAUCGGAACGUACCCAGAGGUGGCGGAUAACGCAGCGAAAGCUGUGCUAAUACCGCAUGUGAUCUUAGGAUGAAAGCGGGGGACCGAGCAGCAUGGUUUGGCCUCGCGCCUUUGUAGCGGCCGAUGUCGGAUCAGCUAGUCGGGUGGUUAAAGGACUACCAAGGCGACGAUCCGUAGCUGGUCUGAGAGGACGACGAGGCACACUGGAACUGAGACACGGCCCAGACCCCUACGGGAGGCGGGAGUGGGGAAGUUUGGACAGGGGGCGGAAGCGUGAUCUAACGCUGCGGCGCGGGGUGAGAAGGCCUGCGGGUUGUAAACCGAUUUUGGCAGGAACGAAACGGUGUCCGCUAAUACCGGGCGAUAAGGAGGGGACCGGCAGAAUAGGCACCGGCGAACUACGG
rnacentral:rRNA from 1 species